rfam:Felis catus isolate Cinnamon breed Abyssinian chromosome D2, whole genome shotgun sequence.
GCCUGGGUGGCUCAGUCGGUUGAGCGACCGACUUCGGCUCAGGUCAUGAUCUCGCAGUUUGUGGGUUCGAGCCCCGUGUCAGGCU